rnacentral:lncRNA from 1 species
AACCGUAAGCACCCUCAAACUCCUAGCAGGGACAAAAGAAAACAAAAGAAGAAAACACAAACUCGGGCCGCUCCCGGACACCCGCAAGGGUGCGAGCGCGGGCGAGGGACCGCGGCCUCGGCUGUCCCCGGCCCGCAGGUGCGCGUGGAGAGCGCCUCCAACAAUGGCCAGGAAGGGCUCAGCCGGCGGUGUCAGUUUGCGGUGCGCGCCCCUGCCCGGAGGAAUACCCCAUUUCCAAAGAAUGACAGCACAGAGAAGCGUGCGUUAGGCUCCCCACCCGGGAGGCGUCCCCCCUCCUCCACCCCGCCCCAUGCCUCCUCUCCACCAGAUUCCCCCUCGCGGGCCAAACAUGAACCUGCCACCAAUCAAGUUCCUGCGCAAGUUAUUUUAUUUCCCGCAGCCCCUCCACCUGCCGGGGCGGUGCUCUGCGCACCCCAGGCUUCCCUCCGGCGACCCCCCGCGGGCUGCAGCAAAAACGGGGCGCCUCGGCGGGGCGGGGGCGGGCGGCUGCCGUGGAUCCGGCCGGCUACCGCCGCAGCUCGGUGGCCUCCGAUUGGCCACGACGCGGGCGGGGAGGCUCAGCGGAGGAGGGAGGCGGAGGCGAGGGCGGCGGCGGCGGCAUCAGCGGCGGCGGCGGGAGGGGAUAGGAGAAGGGACCGGGCCGCGCACCGGGGCAGCGCGUGUGGCGAGCGCGGGAGAGCGGCGGCGGCGGCGGCUGGCCCAGGUCGCGUUGGCGGAGGCCGAGCGGGGUGCGCGGGCGGCGGCGCAGGGAGAGGACGCGGAGCGGCGGGAGGGUGCGGGCGCGCAGGCAGCAGGGCGGCCGCAGCGGUAGCUGCGUGGGACGGAGCCGCGGCGGUAGCGGCCGCGCCGGUCCCUCACCUCGCCGUCGCGCGCGGCCGAGGCCGAAGAACAGUCUUCCCAAGUCGCCGGGGGAGGGCAAAAAAAAAAAAAAAAAAGGAGCCGAGAAGCGGCCCUCAGCUCAGCCUCCAACACAGCGGAGAAGCGGGUCGGCGGGACCGCUGCCCUUUGUGGGCAAAGCGCACAGCGCCCGGAGCGCCCUCCCCGCGGCGCUCUCCUCUGCGUCGUCGUCUCGCCCAGCGGCCGCUGAGAGACGACCGGAGGAAGCAAAACCACUAG